rnacentral:tRNA from 2 species
GCCUCCAUAGCUCAGCUGGAUAGAGCACCGGCUUUCUACCCCGGCUGUCGCAGGUUCGAGUCCUGCUGCGGGCACCA